rnacentral:lncRNA from 1 species
UCAACUGCAUGCUACAAGAUUGCUCGAUAGCUACGCGCUAGCUAGCGAGACGCGUGGGAUAGAUGGCUCCUCGUACGCCCGACGCCCGGCCCGUCAGAAGAUUCAGACGUCGACGGUGCAGUCGGCGGGGUGGGUGAACUUGAGGGAGACGGUGGUGUUGACGCCGGCGGGGACGGCGGCGCCGCUGACGGCGAACGCCCCUCCCACGGCGGCGCCCGAGGUGGCGAGCAGGGCGGGGCAGUUGACGAAGAGGUGGUACCCGCCGGAGACCCAGCUCCCGACCUUCCACUUGACGCGGCCUUCCAGCUUGACGUGGAGGAGCACGUACCCGGCCGAGAUGUCCUGCCUCAUGGCGUCCGCCACGUACUGCGACACGGGGACGGCGUCCCCGGACAUGACGGGGGACCACACCGACGCGUCCUUGUGGCCCUGGUAGAUCGACGGCAGCGACACGGGCACCGUCACCGGCUCGUCCCGGUACGUCGUGAACGCGUCCAGGGUCUUGUAGUACACGCCCACGCGCUCGUUCGGGUUCCGCGACGCGAUCGUCACCUGCGGCCAUUGCCAACAACAGCAAGGUUUUUCGUCGGCAUCGUCCAUGUAGCUAGCUGCAGAGCUCAACGUUCCCCGAAUGUGCGAGUAUGCAUACACGUUACCUGGAGGUUGAGGGAGAUGGCCGGGUCGCUGAGGUCGAUGGAGCGGAGCUGCACGUCCUGGAGGUAGAAGGAGGGCUUGGAAGGGUGGAGCGCGAGGUAGAUGACGAGGACGAUGAAGCCGACGACGGCGGCGAGCGUGAGGAAGCAGGCGCAGAUGGAGCCGCAGCAGCGACGGAGGAUCCAGUCGCGGUGGUGCUUCUCCUUGCUCAUGGCGACCUGCUGCGGAGUGCCGAUCGACUGGGUUCAGCUCAGCUCAGUGCUGGUCUGAAGGGAAACCGAGACUGAUGGCAGAGCUCUCGCGGCUCUGCUCAGCAGCUCGCUGGAUAAGCUAGGAGGACUGUGCGCGCAUGUGGGCAGUGGGAGGCUAAAGUGGUGGCGCGAGUGUGGGUGGCCUUUUAAUUACUCCAACAACUCGACUAAACUAGAGGCGGUGCGGUGUGUUUUUUUUAUUUUUAAAAAGGGCUCUUGUUUUGGGAUGGAGGCGAGGAAAGGUACAGCACACCUCACGAAGAUUCUUCGGUUUCUUCCCGGGCCCCCCGGAGCAUGGAGGUUGCCUAUCAGUUGUGAGCUAGUGCAUGUGCAUCUGAUUUGAGAUUCGCGGCCGAAGAACGAGUAUUACCUACUACUGAAUACCGAUGAGCUCGCUGGUGCUUGAGGUUCACUCCAUCUCAGCUGGUCAACUGGGGACGCUUCUUGGCCUUCUGGCAUGUGCACGUUGAGACUACCAGCAGCUGACUCUCAGCCGAAUAUUCUUUCUGCCAUUGACCUGUGCCGCCGAGGAAUCGAAAUGUUUCAUAUAGGUGACUACACGCUUUGCUAAAAAAGAACUCUGCUAAAGAAGAAGAAGAAUUACUGCAGCUUGUGAUUCUUCUACGGUUGACCGGCCGGUCCCAACGGAUGAACCCCAAAUGUGUGGUGUUCCAUGUUCGCGACUAGUUCGUGAGGCCGCACGAGCGCGUACGCGCGAGAGAUUUCGCUCUGGAUCUGCUCGUCCCGUUUUCUCCCAUCCCAGCGCAGCGCUACGGCCUAGGGCAGCGGCGGCGCACGGCGAUCCCGAGGGUCGUCGGCGCACACGCUGCCUCGUGCGCCCCCGGCCACGCGCGCCGAUCGAUCGAUCUAUCCACCGACCGGCACCGGCCCGUGCCGGGGAGAGCCGGCCGGAGUGGGGAGGGUUGGUGGUGCGUAGCACGCAAGCUUGCGUGCGCCGUCGACGGUUGCGACGUCGUGUCACGGCCACGCGCGCGGCUGGGCCAUGCCAAGAGACGGCCGGCCCCCAGAGCAUCAUCUCAUCAGCAGCGCUGAAGGAACAAAACAGGGGCGCGCGCACGCACGACGACGCCCGCGAAGGGUGCGUUCGGCCGGUGUGCCCUCCGUUCCUUAUCUCGUGGAUCUCCACCCCCACCGCCCCGUGCCCUAUGGCACCGCCUGUUUCAGCGCGCCACCAUGCCAGCCUGUCCUCCAACUAAUCACACCAUUUGAUCUGCCUCCCGCGAGCUAAUCAGGAACACCAACCAUUUGUAAUUAAGCUUUGGUUUCCAUCAGAUCGAGCGAGAAUAUAUCGAUUCAGAGUAAGGCUGCUUGCUGUCUUUCCCCUGAAUGAAUGUAUGUUAGCUCGGAGGCUCGAGUGAACGAUGCUAAGCUUUGGGGAACGAAAGGAAAGGGAGCAUGGAUUUAUUGUAUAUCCUUACUGUUGGAUAGCGCCGUGUUAUUUUACCAAAAGCUUUAGGAUCAAAAGCUUGCACACACACAAGGUUGCGGAAAGGGGCUUUUGGAUCAUUUCAUUUUCUUCCAUUCCUACGUAGUCGUUAAAAGUGCCCGUGAGUCAGCGUGACUUGAAAAAGGCCGUCUCUUUUGCCAUAAAAGAAGAAGAAAGAGAGGAUCUGAUGGGUAAAUCCGCGCCGAAAAAAAAAUCCGAGAAAUUACCUUUUAUCUCUCCCACAAGAGUGGGGGGCAAAAAGGCACAUAAAGGAGGCAGCCUCGCAAAGUCAUUGCGCAAGGGUGGACGCUCUUCGUCUUUAAACUGACUUAGCCUGGAAGUAAGACGAGCUGCAAACUGUAACUGGAGAGUUGAAACCACGCCGCACUGUACCAUUUCCAUUCAGUCCCCCUCCCCCCACCAAAAAAAAAAAAAUCAAGAAAAACAGGAUGCUUCAUGUAUACAUACGCCUAGUGGCACAUGCUACCUACCGUACCUCCAGGCCCAUCGCAUGAAUAUUGAAUACAUUACAUUCAGGACCAUCAGAGUUUGGAAGUACAGAGCAGAGCAAUUCCUGCUACCCUGCAUAUGCGUAGCUUAAUCGCACACCUGUUUUGGCUGCGCAUAGAGCGAUUAAGCGAAUUGCAGGCAAGUGCGCCCUCUGUGAUGGAGUACGCCACCUACCGUCCGAUCUUCUCUUGUUCUGUUUGGUGAACGGAGCUAGCGUUGCCGGGCCAAGAAUCUCUCUGACUGACUCAGGGAUGGAGUGUGUGUGCCAUUUUACGGUUGGUAGAGGGGAAAGCGUAUAGAAUUAUUUGGGUCGUCCAGGGUUGGUUGGUGCUGCAAAGGGUAUAGAAUUAUUUGAUGGACCUGCUUGUUCAUUGUUGAGGCCCUUUCCGCGCUCCAUUAUCUUGCAUCGGGAAGGUGAGUGAGGUCGGGCCACAAUAUGUGUUGUAGACUAAUCAUUCAGUUCUGGACCAGUUAGUUGGAUUAGAGACUCUUCUAUCUGUGAACUGUGCUCUUCUUUCGUGGCGGGCAGGGAUUUCCUUCCUUCCUUCCUUUCUUUUUUAUUUUAAGAGGACGGGUGGGCAGGAAGCGAUGUCCAAGGCUCAGGAAAGCCCAUGUCGUUCACACUGUUCGUUGGUCGUCGGUCCACUGGGUCACUCAAGAUUUGUGUGAGUAAGGUGGUCUCAAACUGGUGUGAUCUGCAAGAGUCAGAAAUGAAGCCCAUGUUGAGCGCGCUGCAGAUAAUGUUUUCGAAAUUUUGAGUCCUUUUAAAUCUAAAUAUUUUUUUUAUAGCACCUUCAAAUAAGUGACUCAAGAUACCUACCAAUCACAGCAGGAAUGAGAAAAAGGAUGACCCAUAAAGAAGAAAAAGAUGUGCUUUUUUUCCCUCUAAAAUAAAGUAGUAAAAUGAAAGCCAAUCUAGAAACAUCUACAAAUUUUUCCUCACAAAGGAAAUAAAAAAGAAAGUGCUUUUCACACCCAAGGCCCAAGCCACCGAGACAACAGGCAAGCCGCACAAACCUAGCCAGUCAGUAGGCGAGGCUCGGCCGUAUCCACGCAAGCAUAUUCCCCUCGUAACCCAGGGGCCCACGUCGACCAAGCACCGUGCCAAGUCACCAGCCACCACACACCACACGCCCUCCGUCCCUGACACCGGGCCCGGCCCGCCGGAGUCACACGAACCACGCCCGCGCGCUCUUCCCCGUCCGGUCCCCACCGCCGCCGUCGGCUUCGUCUUCCUUCCACACCACACCAAACCAUCCCUCUCCCGCCCAACUCACGCGCGGCUCGCUCCUCCUACGCGCUUCUAGAACCAAAACCCUAACCAAGCCUCAGCCGGUGCGCGUGCCCGCGUGCGUCGAGCCCGCAGCAGGCGAACAAUCAUGGGUAAGGAAGAGACGCCGCCGAUCGGCGGCGGCGGCGGCGCCGGCGGGGAUCGCGGCGCCUUCGCCUUCAUCUCCAAGGGGUGGCGCGAGGUGCGGGACUCGGCGACCGCGGACCUGCGGCUCAUGCGCGCGCGCGCCGACCGCGAGCUCGAGCACCUCCUCGCGUCGGCGUCGGCGCUCGCGGGGCCCGCGCCCCCGCUGCCGCCCGUCGCGGCGGGGGCGCCCAUCGCGGAGGUCGAGUUCGUGCGGAAGCGGAUCCAGCCGAAGAUCCAGGAGCUCCGGAGGCAGUACUCGUCGCGGGCGCCCGACGGCGGCGGGUGGCCGCCCGGCGCCAGCAGCCUCCGCGUCGACCUCUCCGCGAUUACGGCCAUCCGCAACGCCAUUGUGGCCGAGGGGGACGGCGCCGAGGGGUGGACGCUCGCGCGGCGGAAGGGGGAACGGAGCGAGGAGGGGAGGAAGGAGUGGGAGGUGGUGAGGAUGAUACGGAGCGGGCUCAAGGAGUUCGAGCGCCGGAGCCUGUCGAGCGACAUGUUUGCUGGAUUACAUGGCCGCGGCGAGUUCGUGGAGAAAUUUAAGUUGAGAUUGGUAAGUUUGAACCACUGCAUUUGAUAUGAUGGCAUACUCAUGGUACUUGUUUAGGAUUUAUACCACCUCUUUUGGAAAUUGAAAAUUAAAAUGAGGGUACCUUUAGCAACUGAAUGUCAUAACUCAUGUUAUUACUGACGAACAGCACUUCAGCAGCAAAGCUUUGGCGCCCGUAGCAAAAAUUCUAAGCAGCUUCUGUGUUAAUCCUUUGAUUUAGUUACGCCAAACAUUUCAAUAGUUGCGUACCUUUAGACAUCAACACACCGCUUAUGCUGGCAUUUGUUUUAGUAUUGUGAAGGUAAAUGUAUACUUAGUCAUCCUAAUAAAUAUAUUUAAAAAAUAAUACUGAAAAAUCAUCCUGGAUUACCUUAGCUUAACAGUCAUUUAAUAUGCCAACUCAACUUCUUAUACACCUAACUGUCAUGUAUUCUUGUUAGCAAUAAAUUAUUUGGUUAAUUUUUUGCAGCAAUUGGGUUAACAAAAGGAGAAAAAAAGCUGUCCAGUUAUUGAGCACGCUAUACAUGCUAGAACUGAUUGGUGUUAAUUAAAGUACUACUGCUUCAUGAUGCUCCUUUCCCUCUAUUGCAGAAAUCGCUGAACAAGGACUAUCAGGAAUCCAAGGUAAUUCCAUAGGAAACAAUGUAUAACAUCUGGAAAUGUUCAUGUGGUGCAGAUAGAGAACGGCUAAUGAUUUCUUUUGGAUACAUUUUCCUUGUUACUUAUUCUGAUGUAUUAGGAUCCGAUAUGCACAUUUGUAUACAAAUUUUACAAACUGCUAGGCUAUACUAGAUAUACCUUCAUUAGUCUGAGGAUAUAAUUUCCUUUUGAAUGGUAACCUGUUCCAGAAAAUAGUGAGGUCAGAGGAAGUAUUGACACUUACUAAGCAGGGUUGACCUAAAAUAACUUGCAAAUAUUUUUUCGAUUUAGAUGCCAAUGCAGCUAAUUACUGUUAUAAACAAUCCUUUAAAAUUCAUAGGCAGUGAAUUCUUUAUCUUUUUUCAGGGCAUGUAUCUUUUGAGCCUUUAAAUAAAAGCAGACUUUCUUAGUGAUUUUGAUUAUUAACUGAUAAUGCAAUUUGUGUUGCUAGUUGAUCUGAUUGCUUACUGUUGAGAGUGUGUUUUUCUAAAGUGGGUAUUGGAAUAUAAUGCAGGUAGUCCCACCACUGGAUCUAUCUGAAAUUCUGGCAUAUCUAGUCCGGCAAUCUGGUCCAUUUUUAGAUCAACUUGGCAUAAGAAGAGGUAUAAAACAUUAUUGUUAGUCUGCACCAUGUGGAGUCUUGGUGCCCGGCACUGACCAUUUUAGUCUUAAAAUGUUGUGCAGAUCUAUGUGACAAACUAGUGGAGAUGUUAUAUAGUAAACGAAAUGGUCGGCUCAUGUAUCAUUCCCUUUCAGAGGAUAGAACCUUAGCUGAGAACAUAAAUGAGGACCUUGAUCUAAGAAUAGCUAGGGUGUUAGAAAGUACUGGCUAUCAUGCAGAUGAAGGUUUUUGGAAUGACCCUGCAAAAUACAAGAUCUCAGACAACAGACGGCAUGUUGCUAUUGUCACCACAGCAAGUCUUCCAUGGAUGACAGGGACAGCAAUCAAUCCAUUGUUUCGUGCUGCAUAUCUGGCAAGAAGUGCAAAGCAAAAAGUGACGCUGGUGGUUCCUUGGCUCUGUAAGUCAGACCAAGAAUUGGUUUAUCCAAAUAACAUCACCUUCAGUUCUCCAGAAGAGCAAGAAAUUUACAUAAGGAACUGGCUGCAGGAAAGAGUUGGCUUUGAAGCUGAUUUUAAGAUAUCCUUCUAUCCUAGCAAGGUAAACACCCAAUCUUUGUGCCCCUGUUGUUUAUAUCCUGAGUCCUAGACUCCUAGUACCUGCUUCCCCUGGGAUUUUCAUAAUUCAUGACAUGUAAUUUUUACAGUUUUCAAAAGAGCGCCGCAGCAUUAUUCCUGCUGGGGAUACUUCCCAGUUUAUCUCAUCAAAAGAAGCAGACAUAGCAAUUUUAGAAGAACCUGAGCAUCUCAACUGGUAUCAUCAUGGAAAGCGUUGGACUGACAAGUUCAAUCAUGUCAUCGGCGUAGUUCAUACAAAUUACUUGGAAUAUAUCAAGAGAGAGAAAAAUGGUGCUAUUCAAUCUUUCCUUGUUAAGCAUAUCAACAACUGGGUGACUAGGGCAUACUGCCACAAGGUAUUGUGUUUAGGUCAGAUUUUGUGUUAAAGUCCUGUUGGUUAGAGUUCAGCUAAUAAUGGGUGCAUGCAGGUUUUACGUCUUUCUGCUGCAACUCAAGAUCUACCAAGGUCUGUUGUUUGUAACGUACAUGGUGUAAAUCCAAAGUUUCUCAAUAUCGGUGAGAAAAUAGCAGCUGAUAGGGAGCGUGGACAGAAGGUCUUCUUUAAGGGAGCAUAUUUUCUUGGGAAGAUGGUGUGGGCUAAAGGCUAUAGAGAACUAAUAGAUUUAUUGUCAAAACACAAAAAAGAUCUGGAAGGCUUCAAGAUAGAUGUAUAUGGAAAUGGUGAAGACUCUGAAGCGGUUCAGACUGCUGCUAGAAAAUUUGAUUUGAGCAUCAAUUUUUUCAAGGGAAAGGACCAUGCAGACAAUUCACUCCACGGGUGAGGUUCUAGGAAGCUGCUAAAAGGAAUUCACUUUCAUCUGUGUCCUGUCCUAUGCAGAUUGCUGAUACAGUUAUCUGUUUUCGUCUGUUAAAUUUUCAGGUAUAAGGUUUUCAUCAAUCCAAGUGUUAGUGAUGUGCUAUGCACAGCAACAGCUGAGGCUCUUGCUAUGGGGAAGUUUGUAGUCUGUGCAGAUCAUCCAUCAAACGAUUUUUUCAAGUCAUUCCCCAACUGCUUAACAUAUAAAACUUCAGAGGAAUUUGUUGCUCGUGUCAAAGAGGCUAUGGUUAGUGAACCACAACCUCUGACCCCAGAGCAACGGUACAGUUUAUCAUGGGAGGCGGCGACUGAGAGGUUUAUGGAGUACUCAGAGCUGGACAAAGUUCUGAACAAUACAAAUGGUCACCCUGGACGAGGUGGGAAGAUAAAUAAAUUGAGAAAGAUACCUUUACUUCCUAAGCUGUCAGAUGUGGUGGAUGGGGGACUAGCAUUUGCUCAUCACUGCCUGACUGGCAACGAAAUCCUCAGAUUGGCGACAGGAGCGAUUCCUGGCACACGUGACUAUGAUAAACAACAGUGCAUGGAUUUGAAUCUCCUGCCUCCUCAAGUUCAGCACCCUGUAUAUGGCUGGUGAUGUGUACCAGCUUGCAUUUAACUAAUGUAUAGUUGAAGUAUGUUUCUCCGUAGGUAUGUGCACAUUAAGCGAUCCAGUUCCCAUGUAUUGACCGGAGCAUGAAUGAACUUGUGUAGAGUCUUGAUAAUUGGUAGGGUCCAUGGGAACGAGAUCCUCUGCCGUUGCGUUCUCAUCGGCAAAGGGACGUUCGGCUAAUCUGGAACGUGCGACAGGCCUCCGAUGACACACAUACAUAAAAAAGUCCAUGACCAUGCGGCCCAUUUAUCAGCUCAAUAUCAUCAGCAACUAAACAACCCAGUUGCCUAGCGCCGGCAGCGGGCAUCUCGCCGCCGCCGGCACCGCGCCGCCAUCAAUGCCGUUGGGUGCUGCAGCUCUCUCAUCGCCGUCCAACACCGACGGGUGCCCCACCUUGCUCUUCACCGCCCACCGACGCCGGGAUGCUAUGUCAUGCUCGUCCCUAUCACCUCGGCCAUCGCGGAGUGGUUCUAACCGGUCGCCGUCACCGUCGCCGAGGGGUUAGGCCACGGUUGGGGUUGGGACUGGCAAGGGGUUUUGCGCGCCCAGGGGCAGCACUGCCAUGGGGAGGGCCACCGGUGCUGCCAAGCCGGAACCACCACGGAGAAAGAGUGAUCACUACAUAGGAGGGCAACUGGGCAAAAGGCAGCAAGUUGGGAAGACGAACUUCAGAUAGUAGCACAUGUGUUUGGCAAUUUAGGAUGGCAAAUUGAAAAUGUGACGAGCAAUAUUACCAUUAGCAUUUGAGUGAAGCUAAGUUCACCCCUGGAAUCUUUAUAAUCAGUGCCAUUUGCAACUAGUGCUUGAGCUUGUGCUUGUGCUGGUGCUUCACCUCUUCCUGCCUCUUCCCCACCCUCCUGUAUCAAAAUUGGAGGGCUUUGAGAAAUAAUGGACAUAAUGGUAACACUACAAACAAAAUUGUGCAGAUCAUACCACUAAAAUAUUUCGCAUCUGUGCAUGAGCAGCAUCAUUAUUUGCCUCUUUCCCAAACUGUGAUGAAGCUUUGUUUUCUCUCUUUUUUCUAAACUUGUGCUUCGUAUCAAGCCAAGUUUUUCUUCACUUUGAAGUUUUUUGUUUGGACCUUCUUUUUCUUUAGGCGUGCAUUACUCAACACAUCAUUUGGUGGAGUAGAAUUUGUGGGAAGUACAGAUGGACUCACAGAAGUGCUUGGAUAUGCAAUGAUCAUCUCUUCAAUUUGUUUACAAAGGAUGUCAAGUGUGAUAUCCACUAACUUGGUGCAUUGAGGAAAGUUGGCUGCUUGAUAUGCCAAAUUGAGAAAUUUGUUAGACAUAUAUCUGCAGUGAAGCAAAGCAUCCAUAUUUGGAUUUUCGAUUAUAUUUCUUCCCUACUUGUCUUGUAUAGUUCCACUCCGUGCUUCUCGUGUCCAUCGCUUUAACACGUAUUGUGGUGGCAAUAACUUAAUACUUAUCAAAUCAAGAACUUUAAGAGCAUGAUGUAAUCUUCCCAUUGGAUUGUCUUUGUUUGUGUACCGUUUUUUGACCUCAAAGCCUUUCUGUCCACCAUAACUAAGCCAAAAUGCCCAAGCCUCAUCCAAAUUUCUAAAUUCCAUGCCAACAUGAGGUACAAAGCUAAGCAGCAUAGCUCCGCAAUGGAAAAAAAUAAUAUGAGCAGGGGAUGCAAUUUCAGAGAACAAGUAAGGAGUAGCAAUACAUGGGAUUGGAAUUUGGGACAACUAAAACCAAUUUGAAGUCACAUAGAAAAUAACAAAGUGGGGUUAUAUUACUUACGUAUUGAAAGCAUGAUGCUCUUUGUUAGCCUCUUCUUCCAUAUCAAUGCUACGUAAUACAGAAUCAACCAGCUGCUUCUUUAAUGAGAAAAGAGAAAGUUUGAUUGCUUCAAGCAAUCUGAUGAUAGAACUUCUAUCAGUCUCAGUGAUCCUUUCAUGUUCAAGAGAUGGCAGGAGAAGGUGGAUUAAUACUUACGUACAAGAUUGAAGAGCACAGCAGCUCUUCCAUCCGGCAGCUGCUUCUCUCCUCCUCGCGCCCGUUCUCGUCAGCCUCGCACCCUUUUCUGUUGGCCUCACGCCGUUUUUCCUCCUACACUUGCGUCCAGACUGGGCCGCAUUGUGCUCCUGGGCCAAGGGAUCCAUUCUGUUUCUUCUAUUGUUGCUUCUUGCCAUCGGAUGCUCAAUCAAAGUUCCGGAGCUGCCGAACGUCCUCUGCCGAUGAGAACGAAAGUUAGAGGAUCUCGUUCCAGUCCACGAGGAAUUUGUUGUGUUGUUUUGUACUCUGUGGUCUUUGCCUGUAAUUAUGUUACCUUUUACUCCUGGAAUAGGUUAGUUCGUGCAUACAAAGUGUUAUGUAGUUCCCAUACUAAUCAAUGCCUGCACUUUGAUUGAAUCUUGUUAAGGCUGUAAGCCUGUUAGGAAUGUGGCUUAUUUUUUUUCUCCUGUGUGGCUACCUGAAGCAAAAAUGGUUAAAAUAAAUAUUCAGUAAAGAAGAAAAGUAGACAAUAUUUAUCUUAAUAUUUCUUCUGAGUACCUUUCGUUUCUUUACAAACAUAGGGUGCAAUGAAAAUUUUUGAAUUCAUUCUAGCAAGAAAGUUGAACCACAAUUUCAUUACUUGUUAUAUACUCUGGUUAUUUUAUUGCAUCACUCUUUUCUUUAAUGUUGUUGCCUGUGAUGAGAUGGAACUUAUUGUACUAUAUGCGAUGAGAUAAUGUUUAAUCUAUUAUUUGUGGGCUGAAAUUUCUUAAUAUUAAUUCUGAGCUGUAAUUGUUCCUGUUAAUUGGGCUGGAAUUGCUUAGGCCCCGUUUGGAUCAUUGGAAUUGAAUUCCAUCCUAAUAAUCAUAAUUUAGAUACAAAUUAAUUAAGCUAAUAUAAUUGUAUGUGGAAUAUAGUUGUAUAUUAUAGUUGGUGAUAUGGGAGAGAUACUUGUAUGCUGCACUUUUACUAUAGAGAAGCGAGUCUAAGAGCGUGCUAUAAGAAUUGAAUUCCAUCUAAUAACCAUAAUCUAUAGAAUCAAUUUCCAUCUCCCACCCCAUGAAUUUAAGAUAGGCUUAUAUCUAAACUUUGGAAAGUUGUGGAAUGCCACAUUCCAACAUAAAUUAGCCUACUCCAUUAAAUAGAUUCCAAUUCCUUGGACCCAAACGGGGCCUUAUUGUUGGACCAAUUGGGUUAGAAAAAUGAUUAAAAUUUGGUGGAUCGAUUUUAUCAACAUGAACUGUGUACCUUAAAUUUGAUUGGCCGAAAUUAUUGGGCCCACUUAUCAAACAAGCCUGUUACCAAAUGUGUCAGCAGCCACAUCAUCGGCCACAUCACCAUUAUUAGCCACGUCAUCAUCGAUGUCAGCUGCCAUGUCAUCACCCACGUCAUUGUCCACGCCAUCAUCAUCAUCCAUGUCAGCAGCCAUGUCAUCAUCCAUCUCAGCGGCCAUGUCACAUGGCUAUACAAUCUAUGAUGAUUUCUAUGACGUUUAUUUUCGUCACUAAAGUUGGGCUUAGGUUGAGCUAAGCGGGCUUGAGGCUAUUUUGUGACGAAUUAGAAACGUCAUGGAUUGUUUCGAUCUGUGACGAUUACGCUAAAAACGUCACGAGGCGUAAUUUGUGACGCUUAAUACAUGACGAUAUGCGAAAUCGUCACAUACACUGCUUUAUGACGGUUUGUCAGCGAUCUGUGAUGAAAUUUUUCCGUCAUAGAUUAACAGGUUUCUUGUAGUGUACGGUGCAAUGAAAACAAUUUGAAUUCAUUCUGUUCUUUACUAGAUAUGCAAUGCCAUGCAAGAUUUGUUAUGCUUUGAGAAUUUCAUACAUCUGUUACUUCAACGUCACAACUUGGGCACGGAUUUUCGAGAAGGACACCGUGGAAUUAUGUUUCUUGGCUCAGUGUUUUCUUUAGUUCUACUAUAUUUACAAGAUAUUUACAUUAUUGAGAGGUAGUACAUUCUCCCUCCCUGAUAUUUACAAGAAGUUUAUAUUUAUUUUUGUCUGUACAACUGUGCGGAAGCAACAUUUAUCAUCACAAUUCAGCAUCAUAAUUACUUUUAUAAAUCAAAUAAUUAAUCACUUGCUUUAUGCACAAUAUAGUAUUGUAUCAUCAGAUGCUCCUGAGAUGUGGAUAGUAUCUACAUACGAAAUGCAGAGCACCAACUAGCCAAGUCCCGCUGCCUCUCCACUAUCUACAAUGAUAACCACAUCCUUCUGGUCAGUGUUCUCAGGGCUUUUGAAGCCGGCAACUUGCGCUAGGUUACCAACAGAUUCUGUGAUCUUCUUUGUCUGAGAAACCACUUCUGCGAGGAGAGAUGCAAUGACAGCAACAUGCAUCACUUUGGCCAGAUCCUCGUCCUGCGACAAUUCGGCCUUGAGGCCUUUCGCCGCUCUGAUCGCUGCAGUCAUGUGAGUCAUGGCCGGGGAUGGCACAGUCAUCGCCUGAAUCGCCGCUGAGAGCGCCCGGAGCGCCUUGGCCGAGUGCAAGCUCAUCUCACCGCAUGCUGUUCGAACCUUCGAGCAUAGCUCCAAAUUCGUUUCAGGAUACUGUGAGCAGGAAAAGGAUGAUGCUAGUGAUCAGUAAACAUGGUUCUGUAAUCCUUUAAUUUUGAUCUAUAGCGAAAUGGCUGGAUUUGCAAUUACCUGAGCUUUUGUGAGUGUGAUGAUGUAGGAAGCAAGAGUCUGCAUUGAGGAAGCGCACUGGCGAGCAACGGCGCCGAUGUUCUGGUAUUGGCCCCAUGGGUACCGGAAGUAGAAGUUGCCAUGACCUGGCUCCCACUUGGCAAAAUUUGCCUGCGGUUUUGGAAGAAUAGAAGCCAUGCAUUAUAACGGAUCGUCCCAGUUUCUGGAUACAGGAGCUUUAUUGCUGCUCAACAUCAAAGUGCAUUGCUGCUUACCAAAGAGUCCUCGGUGGCCUUGCAGUCGAGGACGCUCUUGUACACUUGGAGGAACGGUUUGCUUUCCAAAUCCUCGCCGGGAGCGUUCUCCCCGAAGCAUUCGGACUCCAGUCCUGCACACACAAAUACAUGUAUAUAUACAAUUUAGUUUAUCUUUGACAUGGGAAUCCGAUCCGAUUCGUUGUACAUAUUCCAAGGAUCGAGUGGGAUGGAUGGUGCUACGUACCCUCAAGGAACUCGGCGAGCUUGCCGAGGUUGUCGGCGGCGAGGUUGUGGAGGUUCUCGCCGGCCCAGACCGGGCAGACGAACAUGGUGGUGAAGAGGCAGGUGGCGACGCCGACGAAGAUGGUGGAGGAGCGCUGGUGCGCGAGGCGGAUGAGCUCCUCCACCCGGUAGCUCGACACCGCCACCAGGCUGAAGGUCAGGAUGAAGAUGGUCACGCCGUAGUCGUACCGCGCCUUCACCGCCGGGAUGAACCGUGUGAACGUCGCCGCCGUCGCUGCGAGAGAGAGAACGAAUUAAUUAAAUUAAAGCACUUACUGAUCGUGACAUGUCGAUCUCGUCAUGAAAGUAACUAAGCGUACCGGCCGUACACGGCUAAGAAGCUAGCCUGCGUGCCUGGCUUUCUCUUUACACAGACAAGCAGCUAGCUAGACAAGGAAUCAGCCUGCAUGGGUAUAGAAGGUAUAGUAGGUACUGUACCUAUGAGGAAGACGAAGGUUGCGAGUAUGAUGGGCUCCCCUUUGCUGCCUCCCAGGUUGGCCACCUUGUGAGCCCCGACGGCGAUGAACCCGGCGACCAGCGUCCCCGUCGCCCUGUUCAGGCCUUUGAUCAGCGUCCCACCUGCCAACACACACACACGCACCCGUUAAUAAGCCAUUAAUUAAACUAUACGGGUGCAUGGCGCCACGCGUCCACGCGUGACGUUGCAUGCGUCUCGUACGUCAUCAAUCUCUGCAACUAACUGCGAUGCACGGUGGCGUACAGGCUUACCGACGGUGUACUCCAUGACGACGGCGACGGUGAGUACGGCCCAGAGGGUGGAGAGCCCCCAGUUGUUGAAGAUGGGGCGGACGUAGUAGAGCACGGACACCAGCGUGAGCGCCAGCCCGACCUUGAACGAGUGCACCACCCGCCGGGGAUCGUCCGUCGCGAUCUUGGCCAGCUUCUUGCCGAGCCCGGCGAGGGCUCCCCAGACCUUACCCAGCGCCGAGAGGAGCCCCUCCGCGCACCUCACCAGGAACUCGACGUAGCCGCCGGUGCCGCCGCCGCCGGACGUCACCACCUGAUGAACCUCCAUGGCAGGCAUGGCUGCCGUCUGCCGAUCGAGGUAGCUAGGGCCGUGCCGUGCGUGCACGAGACUGGCUCUGGUGGUGAAUGUGUGUGUGUGGUUUAUGAGCUACCAGGAGGGGCGGUGGGGGGUCCUUAUAUAAGCGGAGCCGAGGAGGAAGACACGCGAGGGCGGCGGCGGCGGCGGCUUGGGGAUAUAGUUAGUGGGAUACCGCGACGCGGCAGACAUUACACAGGAUAUAGUGGAAACAAAAGCAUAACCCCCUGCCGCGCAGGCCUUUUCGCUGUGAAUGCGACUCGCGAUACUGCUGGUGCUCUCGUGCUCUUUUCAACCGGUUCGUUGCUGGCUGCUGCCACUCUCUCGGUCUCGCCUUUUCUUGCUCGAGGACUAUGGAGAGCACCAAGUCGGCCGAAUAGGCCGCCAGUGAUGUACAGAGAUGUGUGCAGCUUAUGAACGCCAUCCGUUUUGGCCACUGCUACCUUCUGCUGGUUUGUGCUGUGACGAGGACGUCGCCGGGGUGAUCGUGUCGCACGCUCGCAACACUUGACAGGCGGCGGUCUUUUGCAAACCAGUAGUUUAUAACAAUAUAAUCUCUGCCUUUUGACCUGUAAUGUUUGCACUUGGGAUACUGUCGGACGAGGUAAACUUCUCAUCGUGAUCUUGGCCUUUGCUUCAGCGGCACGCAUCCUCAAGCGCAGGCAGGACUGCACCUAUACACGAUGACUCAUGCAUGAUCUGCAGACGACACGCGACAUCACACACUCUGACUUUGGACGUACGGACCGACAAAGGCGAGCGGCGCUAGUGCUUUUCUUGGUUUUAAAAAUGCCGGCUUAUAAGCCAUUCGUGCUAUGUAAAGCACCGUAUACUAACUCGGUGGCAACAUUUUAAAAAAAGGCCAAAGAGGACGUGAGGUGUUGGCCUGAUGUAUCCAUGUCCCUAUACAGCUACUUGCUAUCGAGACGUGGCAUGGCUUAUCAGUCUACUACAUAGUAUACUCUUUUUUUUUGGCCUGCAGGGAUUUAGGUAGGCCUUAUCACAUUGAAUAAUCCCAACAAAUAAAUCCCCAGUCCAAGCACGCGCUUCCAUAACAUCCUACGAGACCCAGGGCCUAUCAACUAGCUUUGUUUGGUGCAUUUCGAUGAAAUAUAAUCUGUCACCAGCAGAUCAUGAUGUGUGCUGUCGCAGAGGCUACAGAUUAUUUUUUUUUAGAAAAAAAAAUCUGCAGACCAUCCUUCGCGAGAAACUCUAAGCUAUUUUCUCCACCGUUGAGCGGCCGACCGCCACCACCACUGUGUUCUUUUGCAUCGAGUACGUUUACGUGUUCCCUUGCGUCUCUUGCAGGCACACUUGGGCAACCUGUCGCAGUCCAGGUGUAGACACUGACCCACACAGGGUCCAACGUACGCGAUGGCGACUUGUUCUUUGUGUCUGUCACCGUCGUCUCUCCGGUCCAUCACUGUACAGCUCAUAGAGCAGUAAAAACAGAAUACUGGACACUAUCUGAAUAAUGCAAUACAGCGGGUUGCAUCCAUUCAGCUGUCUCUAGCUUUCCUAGUGUAGCAGGAACAUCGCUCCAACUCCAAUCGAGCCGGGUUACGAUGUUGCCGGAAAUAAAGCGCAAAAACCUUUACGAUUGACAAUUUUUUUUUGAAAAGUGACGAUUGACAAUUGAUAUGGUCUAUCUGUUCAUAUGUGCGCAUGUAACAGCUGCCAUGCACACACAACAAGCGAGCACCACAAGUCCGAAGCUUGCUGCCGAUCGAGCGGUUCAGGAAGCAGCGAAGCUUUUGCUCUCUCCGUUGGCUUCACCUCUCGUGUCUCCUCGGAUAUAUUCUCCUUAUCCUGGUGGGAAAUGGGAUAACCGUCGUUUCGACCUCACGUCCGCGCAAUCUUUCAGUACGAGGGACCGAGUUCGUAGCAGCGGCAUCGAUCCGGAGAACAAGCAGAUAGGGAGAGCAUCAGCAUAGCCAAGAACAUGGCAGCAGAAUCCAAGAAUAUGUGCUUCUAUUAUGCUCUCAGGGUAGCAUUGCGUUGCAUGCCGUCCUGUGUCGCCUCCAAUCGAGGAUCCUAGAAGAAAUCUCACCAGUGGAUGGGCUACGUCUAAAAGCAAAAUCAUUACCACAUUGCGUAUUCACCGUUCACUCUUCCAAUUCUUCAUCCCAAGAUUCCAGCUAGUGUAGAUCGCCGAGAAAGUGGCAGCAGAUAGCUGAGAUGCGCACCGAUCGGCAUCUGCGAAGCAACUUUUCUGCUGCGCAUGUGCAUGGGCAGCUAAGCUGCAUGCUAAACCCUAGCUAGCGUGUAGCGUCCUUCCUCAAUAUGCGAUGGUGGAAACAAGCACGGAAAACGACCGUAGUGGAGUGGCCUUUUGGUGCAGAAAAGAAGCCUUCUGGACGCUGCUAGUGCUCUUCUCUGACUUCACCUCGGGAUUGUUGUUGUUGGUUGGACUAUGAUCAUGCCGGUCAUGGCGUGUGCCGUGUGCGACCGACUGUACACGCUCUGUCCUUUGACUGAGCUCGGCCUUUUUCGUACUUGUAGGGGUGCGUCGUUUUCGCCAUAGAAUUCCUGUUCCAGUGACUUACCUUCCGACGUCUCUUUCUGCCUGCCAGUGCUCGCUCCAUCUCUCUGUAAAAAGCGGGAUCUGGGCCGGGGGGCUCUACACUCGUUUUUGCAUGUUGUCAAUUUCAACCGCCUGUAACUUUCGCGGCACAAUUUCGUCCGUUGCCUUUCAAACUAUGAGCACCUCAACUUUGUUUUGUAGGCUCCAUCUAGUCACUUUUCACUUGUCUAAUGUGGCUUCCAUGCAAGUAUACGAAGUCAGCUACGUUUUCUCUUCACCGCACCAGCAAUGCACAGUCUUAUCAAGCCCACAACAUAUAUAGCUGUAUCCAUAGUCACAAGCUAUGUUGACUUCCCACCUGAUUUGACUGGGCUGCUGCACUUUUAAUUGAUUUUAGCAUCCCCUUAUCACCGUCUCCUUAUCGUUGUAUCUCUUCUUAAUGCUUCCACCUAUGCAAAAACAUCGAGUCAUCCAAUCGCCGAGUACGACGGACUCUCAUUUUACAACCGAUUUCCCCACCCUAGCAAAACCCUAAUUAAAUAGGCAUGGGUUGCACCCGCCAUCGAGGCACUCAAGGGAAUGGAUGGAUAAGUUAAGAUUGCACACACAGUUUUGUUCAUUACCUUUCAAAACCGGCCAAUCGAUCUCGCAACUUUUGUUUGUAGGGCCAAUCUAGUCCCUUGAUGUAUGUGGCUUCCAUGUCAGUAUACCAAGUCAGCUAUGUUUUCUCUUCAUUGCAAUAGCAAUAUGCACACAUGCCAAGUGCAUGUAUCGAUAGUCCCAAUCUGUGUUUACUCCCCGCCUGCUAGGUCUAUAGGGCCGCUCUAGCAACUCCUUAUCAUCGUUCUGUUUAGGUUCCACACAUAUAUGACAAUAAUGUUGAUAGUUGCCCAACCGCUGAAUACGAAUAGCUGCCCCCCCCCCCCCCCCCCCCAUUGGGGGUAGGUUCCAGGAGUGGGUUGCAUUCAUCACGGGAGGGGCUCAAGGGAAUGGAUAGGCAUUAGAAUUUGCACACAAUUUCAUCUGUUACCUUUCAAAACGACCAAUUAAGUUCCUCAACUUUUGUUCGGAAGUUCAAUCUCAUCUCAUGUUAUACGAUGGCUUUAUGCAAGUAUAGACAACUACAAAUUCUCUUCACCACACCAGCCAUAUGCACACAUGGCAAACGAACAACAUAUAUAGCUGUAUCGAUUGUCCCAAGUUAUGUUGACUUCUCGUACAUUCGGUCUCUAGGGCCGCUCAACUUUUCAUUGAUUUUAGUAGUCUCGUAUCAUCAUCUCCUUAUCAUAGUCCCUCAUUUGGCUCCACCUAUGGCAACAACGUCGAACGUCACCCAACCAUCGAAUACGACAUGCUCUCCUUUUAUAGCUGAUUUUCCCACCUUGGUAGCAAACCUUAGGAGCGGGGUACGGCCCACAAUGAGAGAGACUCAAGGGAAUAGAUGGGUUAAUUAGUUAGGAUUGCAUGUAAUCAUCAAAUACCUUUCAAAAUUUGCCAAUUGUGUCCCUCAACUUUUUUCUAGGAGCAACCUAGUAGUCUCUUGUCGUAUGUGGCUUCCAUGCAAGUAUACCAAGUCAGCUACAAUUUCUCUUCAUCGCACUAGCAGCCAAAUGCACGCAUGCAAAGAUCACAACAUCUAUAGUUGCAUCGAUAGUCCCAAGCUAUAUUGACUUCUUCCCACCCGCUCGGUCUCUACGGUCGCUCCACUUUUGAUUGGUUUUAGCAGCCCCUUAUCAUGUCUCCAUAUAUAUUGUCAUCUCUCUUUUGGUUCCACCUAUGGUAGAAACGUAGAGUCACCCAACCACCAAAUAUGACAAGAUCCGACUCUACCACCAAAUAUGACAAGAUCUCCUUUUUAUAGCUGAUUUCCCCACCUUGGCAGCAACCCCUAGGAGUAGGUUGCACCCGCCAUUGGAGGGGCUCAAAAGGAAUGGAUGUGUCAGUUAGGAUUGCACGCAAUUUCGCCCGUUACCUUUGAAAACCGACCAAUCAAAUCCCUCAACUCUUAUUUGGAUGGUCCAUCUAGUCUCAUGUCGUACAUGAUUUCCAUGCAAGUAUACCAAGUUAGCUACAUUUCUCUUCAUCAUACCAGCCAUGCACACACAUGUAAAGCUGACGAAAUAGUAGUAUCGAUAGUCCCGAGUUGUUUUGACUUCCCACCCACUCCGUCUCUAGUUUUGAUUGAUUUUAGCAAGUUGGCAUCAUUGUCUGUUUUUAGGUUCCACAUAUGGAAACAAGGUCCAUAGUGAUCUAACCGCCUAAUAUGAAAAGAUAGCUCUCCUCCUAUAGCUGACAAUCUCACCCUAGUUACAAACCUUAGUAGUGGGUUGGGGCUCACAUAGGAGGUGCUCAAGGGAAUGGAUGGGCCAAUAAAGGAUUGCAAGCAAUUCCUUGGGCUCAAUUUCGACCGUUAUCUUUCAAAACCGGCCAAUCAAGUCCCUAAACUAUUGCUUAUAUGGUCAUUCUAGUCUCUUAUUGUAUGCGGCUUCCAUGCAUGUAUACCAAGGUAGCUACAUUUUCUCUUCCCCGCACCAACCAUGAGCACACUUUGUCAAGUGUACAAUAGCUGUAUCAGCUAUUUCGACUUGACUUUUCACCCACUCGGUCCCUGGGCUGCUCUACUUAUGAUUGAUUUUAGGAGCCUCUUGUCAUUGUCUCUCUUUUGGUUUCAUCUACGGCAACAAUAUCCAGAGUGAUGUUUAACUAUGGCGAACUAAAAUUAUCUUUAUAAUUGAUAUAUAAAUAUAUCCGAUGAUGCAUGUUUACGUUCAGGUCCUCCAAGUUUGGUUUUGCCCCAGGCCCUUGAAAACUCAGGGGCAGCACUGUGUGCGUGAUGACUCAUACUCCCUCCAUCCCAAAUUACUAUUCAUUUUAGGUUUUAUAGAUACGUAACGUUUGCUAUGCACUUAGAUAUAUAUUAUAUCUAGAUACGUCACAAAAACUAUGUAUCUAGAAAAACCAAACAAAUAGUAAUUUUGGACGGAGAGAGUAGAAGACGCAAUGCUGAGAUUACACUCGACCGGAUGGGAACAUCCUCUCGGUCAAUCUGCUCCCCUCCAUGUGCGCGGACCCCAUGACACCCUUAUCUCUAUCCUCCCUCCCUCCUCCCAUUCACUCUCUUUUCCCCUCCUCAUUCCCCCACCAACGUGGCGCGGAGCCUGCUUCCUC